UGAAAAACGCACAAACUCUAUUUCGGACCUUAUACUUCAAAAGCAUGGCUCAUUCCCUCCCUCGAUUUCAGAUUGAAAAAACGUGGCUCACCGCUAUGUCCUUCUCACCGGCCAUCGUCUCCCUCUCUCCGACCUUCUCACCGGCUGUCGUCUCCCUCUAUCCCACCUUCUCACCGUGGUGCGAUUAGGUUUGGUAAGUCUCUCGUUGUUCUCUCUUGCUCUACCAAUUCUCUGUUUAUUGUCCUCAAUCUCUCACACCCACUCUCGGUUGCUUGCCCUAGUGCGUUUUUGAUGGUCAACAUUGGAUUGCUGUAUGGUGUUUUAAAGAACUUGUUGGUGUGAUGUUUCUUGCAAGGUUAGUCUAUCACAAUCUUUCAUAUAGGAAACUUAGGGUUUGCUUUUGAACAGGUUAAUUUGUUUGAGUUUGAAUUUGUUGUUUGAUUUCUUUGGUUUUAUAAUCUAGGAUUAGUUCGUUUGAAUUUGGUGUAAUUCCUACAAUCGUUACUUCAAGUUCAUUAUUUUAGCCAUCUUUAUUGCUCGACUUCACUGUUUCUCAGCUGUCUUUCAGUUUCUUUGCUGAUUCUGUAGAGAUUUUUUACUUAAUUAUGCCCAAUUAUCCCUGUUCAUUGGGUCAUUUUAGUUCAUUGCAUUGGAGAAUAAUUCUCUGCAUCUAUUAUAGAUUCAUUAUGACUUAAAACAUGUGAAAACCAGUCCCAGAGUCUGCAUUGUUGGGAAAUUGUUGGUACGAAAACGGACCAUUGAAUUCUUCGUGUAAAAGUAAGUAAUUGUCUGCAUACCCACUAUAUCAUAUCAUUUACAUUCGUUGCACUUUUUUACCCUGGUUAUUUUGCAUCUGGUAUGCCAGACAUGUUUCACAUUUUAAUGUUAUUUCUAUCGAGUAAUUGUUAAAGUUUAAUCUAACAGAUGAGGCACAUCCAAUGUGUUUGAAAAAGUUUCUCCUAUAUUUCUGUAUUUAUGUAUGUGAAGGAGAGGGACCAAUAGAUGUCAUACGUGUUUAGGUAGCGAAAGACUUUACUGAACUUUAGAUAAUACAUUUGUUUGGUUUAUCAAUA
rnacentral:lncRNA from 1 species